rnacentral:rRNA from 1 species
AGAGUUUGAUCCUGGCUCAGAAUGAACGCUGGCGGCGUGCUUAACACAUGCAAGUCGAACGAGAAAGUCUCUUCGGAGGCUAGUAAAGUGGCGAACGGGUGAGUAACACGUAAGAAUCUCCCCUUCAGUGAAGAAUACCCUCGAGAAAUCGGGGUUAAUACUGCAUACGCCCUUCGGGGGAAAGACGGCCUCUUGCUGUCGCUGAUGGAUGAGCUUGCGGACUAUUAGCUUGUUGGUGGGGUAAAGGCCUACCAAGGCUGUGAUGGAUAGCCGGCCUGAGAGGGUGAACGGCCACACUGGGACUGAGAUACGGCCCAGACUCCUACGGGAGGCAGCAGUGGGGAAUUUUGCGCAAUGGACGAAAGUCUGACGCAACGACGCCGCGUGGAGGAUGAAGGUUUUCGGAUUGUAAACUCCUGUUAAGUGGGAAGAAAGACCUGUGAAUAAUAUGUGCAGGGGAUGACGGUACCACUAGAGAAAGCUCCGGCUAACUUCGUGCCAGCAGCCGCGGUAAUACNAAGGGAGCAAGCGUUAUUCGGAAUUACUGGGCGUAAAGAGCGCGUAGGCGGUUAAUUAAGUUAGUUGUCAAAUUCCCUGGCUUAACCAGGGAACGGCGACUAAUACUGGUUGACUUGAGGAUAAGAGAGAGAAGUGGAAUUCUCGGAGUAGCGGUAAAAUGCAUAGAUCUCGAGAGGAACACCAGUUGCGAAGGCGGCUUCUUGGCUUAUUUCUGACGCUAAAGCGCGAAAGCGUGGGGAGCAAACAGGAUUAGAUACCCUGGUAGUCCACGCCGUAA